rnacentral:tRNA from 1 species
GCCGCGGCGAUAGCUCAGUGAGUAAAGCGCCAGGUGAGAAGAUGGCGAUUACUCCGAGAGCUAUUAUCUGCGCGGGUUCGAAUCCCGCCUGUGACA